AUAUAUGGCAGACGCGGGUCAAUGUGUAGUAUCUGUUCUUGUCAGCUUAAUAUGCGAUACGGGUUGCAUUUGCACCCAAGAUACUGAACUUAUUUUGGCAAGUUGGCGGAGUACUUGAAGCCUGCUUCACCUCCGCCGCGUGUCGGCCCGCUAUGCGCUAUCUUCGGGAUCAGGCGACGGUUU